rnacentral:rRNA from 1 species
UACGAAGGGGGCUAGCGUUGUUCGGAAUCACUGGGCGUAAAGGGCGCGUAGGCGGCUUUAUAAGUCGGGGGUGAAAGCCUGUGGCUCAACCACAGAAUUGCCUUCGAUACUGUAGAGCUUGAGACCGGAAGAGGUAAGUGGAACUGCGAGUGUAGAGGUGAAAUUCGUAGAUAUUCGCAAGAACACCAGUGGCGAAGGCGGCUUACUGGUCCGGUUCUGACGCUGAGGCGCGAAAGCGUGGGGAGCGAACAGG